rnacentral:rRNA from 1 species
GAUGAACGCUAGCGGCAGGCCUAAUACAUGCAAGUCGGACGGGAUAGAAGAGCUUGCUUUUCUUGAGAGUGGCGCACGGGUGCGUAACACGUAUGUAACCUACCCUUAUCAGGGGGAUAGCCUCUCGAAAGAGAGAUUAAGCCGCAUAAUAUGAAGACAUAGCAUUAUGAUUUCAUCAAAUAUUUAUAGGAUAAGGAUGGGCAUGCGGAACAUAGCUAGUUGGUAAGGUAAUGGCUUACCAAGGCUACGAUGUUUA